GCUGAACGCUCGCGGCAGGCCUAAUACAUGCAAGUCGAGGGGUAGAAGCGGCUUGCUUCUCUGAGACCGGCGCACGGGUGCGUAACGCGUACGCGACCUACUUUACUCUGGGGGCUAGCCCGGAGGAAGACGGAUUAAUACCGCAUACAAUCAGCGGAAGGCAACACACAAUGAUCAAACAUUCAUGGGACGGAGAUGGGCAUGCUUGUCAUUAGCGAGUUGGCGGGGUAACGGCCAACCAAGGCGACGAUGACUAUGGGAUCUGAGAGGAUGGCCCCCCACACUGGUACUGAGACACGGACCAGACUCCUACGGGAGGCAGCAGUAAGGAAUAUUGGUCAAUGGAGGCAACUCUGAACCAGCCAUGCCGCGUGCAGGAAGACUGCCGUAUGAGUUGUAAACUGCUUUUAUUCGGGAAUAAACCUUAUUACGUGUAAUAAGCUGAAUGUACCGAAGGAAUAAGGAUCGGCUAACUCCGUGCCAGCCGCCGCCGUAA
rnacentral:rRNA from 1 species